rnacentral:rRNA from 1 species
GACGAACGCUGGCGGCAUGCCUAAUACAUGCAAGUCGAGCGAACAGAUGAAGUGCUUGCACUUCUGACGUUAGCGGCGAACGGGUGAGUAACACGUAAGGAAUCUACCUAUAAGCGGGGGAUAACAUUCGGAAACGGGUGCUAAUACCGCAUAAUAUCUUCUUCCGCAUGGAAGGAGAUUGAAAGACGGCUCUGCUGUCACUUAUAGAUGACCUUGCGGUGCAUUAGUUAGUUGGUGGGGUAAUGGCCUACCAAGACGAUGAUGCAUAGCCGACCUGGGAGGGUGAUCGGCCACAUUGGGACUGAGACACGGCCCAAACUCCUACGGGAGGCAGCAGUAGGGAAUCUUCCGCAAUGGGCGAAAGCCUGACGGAGCAAUGCCGCGUGAGUGAAGAAGGCCUUCGGGUCGUAAAACUCUGUUAUAAGAGAAGAACAAAUUGUAGAGUAACUGCUACAGUCUUGACGGUAUCCUAUCAGAAAGCCACGGCUAACUACGUGCCAGCCGCCGCGGUAA